AUACAUACAAGGCAGAUGAGACUCCAUGAUGACCAAAGUGGCUUUUCCAGGGUGGGCUCAUCCCUUGCAUUCCUGAUAUGUAGAUUUCCAUGAUUUCCUCAAGUGGAAGAAACUCAGCUCCUGAUUAGUGGUAGUGGAGGACUGUGGCAGCUACACUUUUUC